GGGUUGUGAGGUUAAGCGACUAAGCGUACACGGUGGAUGCCCUGGCAGUCAGAGGCGAUGAAGGACGUGCUAAUCUGCGAAAAGCGUCGGUAAGGUGAUAUGAACCGUUAUAACCGGCGAUGUCCGAAUGGGGAAACCCAGUGCAAUUCGUUGCACUAUCGUUAACUGAAUACAUAGGUUAACGAGGCGAACCGGGGGAACUGAAACAUCUAAGUACCCCGAGGAAAAGAAAUCAACCGAGAUUCCCCCAGUAGCGGCGAGCGAACGGGGAGCAGCCCAGAGUCUGAAUCAGCUUGUGUGUUAGUGGAACGGUCUGGAAAGUCCGACGGUACAGGGUGAUAGUCCCGUACACCAAAAUGCACAGGCUGUGAACUCGAAGAGUAGGGCGGGACACGUGGUAUCCUGUCUGAAUAUGGGGGGACCAUCCUCCAAGGCUAAAUACUCCUGACUGACCGAUAGUGAACCAGUACCGUGAGGGAAAGGCGAAAAGAACCCCGGCGAGGGGAGUGAAAAAGAACCUGAAACCGUGUACGUACAAGCAGUGGGAGCACCUUCGGGUGUGACUGCGUACCUUUUGUAUAAUGGGUCAGCGACUUAUAUUCUGUAGCAAGGUUAACCGUAUAGGGGAGCCGCAGGGAAACCGAGUCUUAACUGGGCGUUAAGUUGCAGGGUAUAGACCCGAAACCCGGUGAUCUAGCCAUGGGCAGGUUGAAGGUUGGGUAACACUAACUGGAGGACCGAACCGACUAAUGUUGAAAAAUUAGCGGAUGACUUGUGGCUGGGGGUGAAAGGCCAAUCAAACCGGGAGAUAGCUGGUUCUCCCCGAAAGCUAUUUAGGUAGCGCCUCGUGAAUUCAUCUUCGGGGGUAGAGCACUGUUUCGGCUAGGGGGUCAUCCCGACUUACCAACCCGAUGCAAACUACGAAUACCGAAGAAUGUUAUCACGGGAGACACACGGCGGGUGCUAACGUCCGUCGUGAAGAGGGAAACAACCCAGACCGCCAGCUAAGGUCCCAAAGUCAUGGUUAAGUGGGAAACGAUGUGGGAAGGCACAGACAGCCAGGAUGUUGGCUUAGAAGCAGCCAUCAUUUAAAGAAAGCGUAAUAGCUCACUGGUCGAGUCGGCCUGCGCGGAAGAUGUAACGGGGCUAAACCAUGCACCGAAGCUGCGGCAGCGACACUAUGUGUUGUUGGGUAGGGGAGCGUUCUGUAAGCCUGCGAAGGUGACCUGUGAGGGUUGCUGGAGGUAUCAGAAGUGCGAAUGCUGACAUAAGUAACGAUAAAGCGGGUGAAAAGCCCGCUCGCCGGAAGACCAAGGGUUCCUGUCCAACGUUAAUCGGGGCAGGGUGAGUCGACCCCUAAGGCGAGGCCGAAAGGCGUAGUCGAUGGGAAACAGGUUAAUAUUCCUGUACUUGGUGUUACUGCGAAGGGGGGACGGAGAAGGCUAUGUUAGCCGGGCGACGGUUGUCCCGGUUUAAGCAUGUAGGCUGAUUGUCCAGGCAAAUCCGGAUAAUCAAGGCUGAGGUGUGAUGACGAGGCACUACGGUGCUGAAGUAACAAAUGCCCUGCUUCCAGGAAAAGCCUCUAAGCAUCAGGUAACAUUAAAUCGUACCCCAAACCGACACAGGUGGUCAGGUAGAGAAUACCAAGGCGCUUGAGAGAACUCGGGUGAAGGAACUAGGCAAAAUGGUGCCGUAACUUCGGGAGAAGGCACGCUGGUGUGUAGGUGAAGUCCCUGCGGAUGGAGCUGAGACCAGUCGAAGAUACCAGCUGGCUGCAACUGUUUAUUAAAAACACAGCACUGUGCAAACACGAAAGUGGACGUAUACGGUGUGACGCCUGCCCGGUGCCGGAAGGUUAAUUGAUGGGGUUAUCCGUAAGGAGAAGCUCUUGAUCGAAGCCCCGGUAAACGGCGGCCGUAACUAUAACGGUCCUAAGGUAGCGAAAUUCCUUGUCGGGUAAGUUCCGACCUGCACGAAUGGCGUAAUGAUGGCCAGGCUGUCUCCACCCGAGACUCAGUGAAAUUGAACUCGCUGUGAAGAUGCAGUGUACCCGCGGCAAGACGGAAAGACCCCGUGAACCUUUACUAUAGCUUGACACUGAACAUUGAGCCUUGAUGUGUAGGAUAGGUGGGAGGCUUUGAAGCGUGGACGCCAGUCUGCGUGGAGCCAACCUUGAAAUACCACCCUUUAAUGUUUGAUGUUCUAACGUUGGCCCCUUACCGGGGUUGCGGACAGUGUCUGGUGGGUAGUUUGACUGGGGCGGUCUCCUCCCAAAGCGUAACGGAGGAGCACGAAGGUUAGCUAAUCCUGGUCGGACAUCAGGAGGUUAGUGCAAUGGCAUAAGCUAGCUUGACUGCGAGCGUGACGGCGCGAGCAGGUGCGAAAGCAGGUCAUAGUGAUCCGGUGGUUCUGAAUGGAAGGGCCAUCGCUCAACGGAUAAAAGGUACUCCGGGGAUAACAGGCUGAUACCGCCCAAGAGUUCAUAUCGACGGCGGUGUUUGGCACCUCGAUGUCGGCUCAUCACAUCCUGGGGCUGAAGUAGGUCCCAAGGGUAUGGCUGUUCGCCAUUUAAAGUGGUACGCGAGCUGGGUUUAGAACGUCGUGAGACAGUUCGGUCCCUAUCUGCCGUGGGCGCUGGAGAAUUGAGGGGGGCUGCUCCUAGUACGAGAGGACCGGAGUGGACGCAUCACUGGUGUUCGGGUUGUCAUGCCAAUGGCACUGCCCGGUAGCUAAAUGCGGAAGAGAUAAGUGCUGAAAGCAUCUAAGCACGAAACUUGCCCCGAGAUGAGUUCUCCCUGAGACUUUAAGUCUCCUGAAGGAACGUUGAAGACGACGACGUUGAUAGGCCGGGUGUGUAAGCGCAGCGAUGCGUUGAGCUAACCGGUACUAAUGAACCGUGAGGCUUAACCUUACAACGCCGAAG
rnacentral:rRNA from 2 species